rnacentral:rRNA from 1 species
UAUAGGGGCGAAAGACUAAUCGAACCAUCAAGUAGCUGGUUCCCUCCGAAGUUUCCCUCAGGAUAGCAGAAGCUCAUAUCAGUUUCAUGAGGUAAAGCGAAUGAUUAGAAGCCUUGGGGUUGUAACAACCUUAACUUAUUCUCAAACUUUAAAUAUGUGAGAUGUGCGGGUUUCUUAAUUGAACCUGUACUUCGAAUGAGAGCUUCUAGUGGGCCAUUUUUGGUAAGCAGAACUGGCGAUGCGGGAUGAACCGAACGUCGAGUUAAGGUGCCGGAAUGCACGCUUAUUUAGACACCACAAAAGGUGUUAGUUCAUCUAGACAGCAGGACGGUGGCCAUGGAAGUCGGAAUCCGC